AUUGCUUCUUGGCCUUUUGGCUAAGAUCAAGUGUAGAAUCACUACUUUUUAGCAUUUUGCCAUGUUUGCUUUAUUGGUCUUUAAAAGUAUCAUUUCUUGAACUGUUUUGAGAGUAGGUUGCAUACAUCAUUCUCCUUUACCCCUC
rnacentral:snRNA from 1 species